rnacentral:rRNA from 1 species
GAUGAACGCUGGCGGCGUGCCUAAUACAUGCAAGUCGAGCGAACAGAUGAGGAGCUUGCUCCUCUGACGUUAGCGGCGGACGGGUGAGUAACACGUGGAUAACCUACCUAUAAGACUGGGAUAACUUCGGGAAACCGGAGCUAAUACCGGAUAAUAUAUUGAACCGCAUGGUUCAAUAGUGAAAGACGGUUUUGCUGUCACUUAUCGAUGGAUCCGCGCCGCAUUAGCUAGUUGGUAAGGUAACGGCUUACCAAGGCAACGAUGCGUAGCCGACCUGAGAGGGUGAUCGGCGACACUGGAACUGAGACACGGUCCAGACUCCUACGGGAGGCAGCAGUAGGGAAUCUUCCGCAAUGGGCGAAAGCCUGACGGAGCAACGCCGCGUGAGUGAUGAAGGUCUUCGGAUCGUAAAACUCUGUUAUUAGGGAAGAACAAAUGUGUAAGUAACUAUGCACGUCUUGACGGUACCUAAUCAGAAAGCAACGGCUAACUACGUG